AUAAACUAGAGGCUCUCAAGAGCCUGUGUCGCUCACCUUGGUCUAUGUGCAUAUUAACAAUGGACACAGAUAAAUUCAUGACAUAAUUGUGUUUUGGUGAUGGUGAUGUGUUUGUAGAUCUUACUUUACUGAACAUUCUUGUUGCUACAAUUAUCUCUUUCUAUAAUGAACUUGGCCCAGUAAUUACAGUGGAAAAUAUUUUCUAAAAAUUUACAAAAAUUUAUGAAAAAUGCUAAAAAUUAACUAUAAAGGGCAAUAACUCCUUAAGGGGUCAAUUGACAAUUUUGGUCAUUUGACUUAUUUGUAGAUCUUACUUUGCUGAACAUUAUUGCUGUUUACAGUUUAUCUCUAUCUAUUAUAAUAUUCAAGAUAAUAACCAAAA
rnacentral:lncRNA from 1 species